rnacentral:tRNA from 1 species
CGGGGCGUAGCUAUAAUAUAAAGCAUUCAGCUUACACCUGAAAGAUACCUACUAUCCCUAGGUCGCCCUGA